rnacentral:rRNA from 1 species
UACGUAGGGGGCUAGCGUUGUCCGGAAUCAUUGGGCGUAAAGCGCGUGUAGGCGGUCCGGUAAGUCCGCUGUGAAAGUCGGGGGCUCAACCCUCGAAUGCCGGUGGAUACUGUCGGGCUAGAGUGCGGAAGAGGCGAGUGGAAUUCCUGGUGUAGCGGUGAAAUGCGCAGAGAUCCGGAAGAACACCAGUGGCGAAGGCGGUCUGCUGGGCAGUUGCUGACACUGAUGCGCGACAGCGUGGGGAGCAAACAGG